rnacentral:rRNA from 1 species
GACGAACGCUGGCGGCGUGCUUAACACAUGCAAGUCGAACGGUGAAAGCGGAGCUUGCUCCGCUGGAUCAGUGGCGAACGGGUGAGUAACACGUGGGCAACCUGCCCCUCACUUCGGGAUAACUCCGGGAAACUGGGGCUAAUACCGGAUAUGACCUCCUUGGGCAUCCUUGGCGGUGGAAAGUUUUUCGGUGAGGGAUGGGCCCGCGGCCUAUCAGCUUGUUGGUGAGGUAGUGGCUCACCAAGGCGACGACGGGUAGCCGGCCUGAGAGGGCGACCGGCCACACUGGGACUGAGACACGGCCCAGACUCCUACGGGAGGCAGCAGUGGGGAAUAUUGCGCAAUGGGCGAAAGCCUGACGCAGCAACGCCGCGUGCGGGAUGACGGCCUUCGGGUUGUAAACCGCUUUCAGCAGGGAAGAAGCCGCAAGGUGACGGUACCUGCAGAAGAAGCACCGGCUAACUACGUGCCAGCAGCCGCGGUAA